CCGUGUUGAACGAUGCUCCGGUGUUCGA
rnacentral:sRNA from 1 species